UGCAAUGAGAGUUGUGCUAAGGUAGCAUAAUAAUUAGCUCUUUAAUUGGGGGAAAGUAUGAAUGGUUUGACGUGGAAAUACUGUCUUUAAUGUAAUUAAGAGAAAUUUUUUUAUAGGUGAAAAAACCUAAAUAUUUGUAAAAGACGAGAAGACCCUAUCGAACUGAAUUAGAAGAAUAGUAAUUGUAUAAAUAUAUAAUUAAUGUGUUUUUGAAUUUUUGUUGGGGUAAUAAAAGACUAAAAUUAACGUCCUUUUAUUAAAUAAAGAUCCUAUUUGAUAGAAAAAAGCAACAGUUACCGUAGGGAUAACAGCGUAAUAUCUUUCUAAGAGAUCUUAUUGAGGAAAGGGUUUGCGACCUCGAUGUUGGAUUAUA
rnacentral:rRNA from 1 species